AAGUGACAUGUCAGAGCUGCGAUUGCCUUCAGUAGUCCAGUUUUAAGUCCAAAGCCUUAAUCGUUCUUUCUGGAUACCCAGUACCUUAUAAUGCAGCCUUUUUGAGAUGAUCAGAUUACACUGGAGAGAAUUGCUGAGUGUAAAUAGUGGUGAAUUAUUCAAUUACCCAUCAUUAAUCUAUUGAACGAUAACCUCAAGAUAGAAAAUUCAAGGAAUUCUUCUAUGUAUUAAGAGCAUUAAAAUCCUCCUUUUCAACAACUCUUUCAGGGCCAGUCCUGAGAUCUUCCCGUGUCUCCUCAAGAUCUGCCUAUUCCCAGCCUUUAAUCCCAAUUGGAUGCUUCACAUCGGUCC
rnacentral:lncRNA from 1 species